GCUUCGACAGAUCGCGUUGGUGUCCUGAAAAGGACUUAAUAGGGAAUGCGCAAAGAGCGUGAGAACGUUCGAUACCGCGGCUGUCCCUGCAACUGUAAGCGGUGAGCGCGAUGUACAUGUGCGGACGGGGACCCCGAGCCGCCAGCCACUGGGCCGGACGCUGCAGCCAGCGAGGCCUGGGAAGGCCGUGCAUCGAGUGAUGACCCGUGAGCCAGGAGACCUGCCAGCGUCCGGUCGCUCUC
rnacentral:ncRNA from 2 species